rnacentral:rRNA from 1 species
UACGUAGGGUGCAAGCGUUGUUCGGAUUUAUUGGGCGUAAAGCGAGUGUAGGCGGUUUGACAAGUCGGCUGUGAAAUCCCGAGGCCCAACCUCGGAACUGCAUCCGAUACUGUCAGGCUAGAGUCCCGGAGAGGGUGGCGGAAUUCCCGGUGUAGGGGUGAAAUCCGUAGAUAUCGGGAGGAACACCAGUGGCGAAGGCGGCCACCUGGACGGUGACUGACGCUGAGACUCGACAGCGUGGGUAGCAAACAGG